rnacentral:rRNA from 1 species
CCUACGGGAGACUGCAGUGGGGGAUAUUGCACAAUGGGGGAAACCCUGAUGCAGCGACGCCGCGUGGGCGAAGAAGUAUUUCGGUAUGUAAAGCCCUAUCAGCAGGGAAGAAGAAAUGACUGUACCUGAGUAAGAAGCCCCGGCUAAAUACGUGCCAGCAGCCGCGGUAAUACGUAUGGUGCAAGCGUUAUCCGGAUUUACUGGGGGUAAAGGGAGCGCAGGCGGCACGGCAAGCCUGAUGUGAAAGCCCGCGGCCCAACCGCGGGACUGCAUUGGGAACUACCGGGCUGGAGUGCCGGAGAGGUAGGCGGAAUUCCUAGUGUAGCGGUGAAAUGCGUAUAUAUUAGGAGGAACACCAGUGGCGAAGGCGGCCUACUGGACGGUGACUGACGCUGAGGCUCGAAAGCGUGGGGAGCAAACAGGAUUAGAUACCCUUGUAGUC